AGUGAGGAAUAUUGGACAAUGGGCGCAAGCCUGAUCCAGCCAUGCCGCGUGCAGGAAGACGGUCUAUGGAUUGUAAACUGCUUUUAUACAGGAAGAACACCUCUACGUGUAGAGGCUUGACGGUACUGUAGAAUAAGGAUCGGCUAACUCCGUGCCAGCAGCCGCGGUAAUACGGAGGAUCCAAGCGUUAUCCGGAAUCAUUGGGUUUAAAGGGUCCGUAGGCGGCCUUAUAAGUCAGUGGUGAAAUCUCCUAGCACUAGGAACUGCCAUUGAUACUGUAGGGCUUGAAUUAUUAGGAAGUAACUAGAAUAUGUAGUGUAGCGGUGAAAUGCUUAGAUAUUACAUGGAAUACCAAUUGCGAAGGCAGGUUACUACUAAUUGAUUGACGCUGAUGGACGAAAGCGUGGGUAGCGAACAGGAUUAGAUACCCUGGUAGUCCACGCCGUAAACGAUGGAUACUAGCUGUUCGGAGCAAUCUGAGUGGCUAAGCGAAAGUGAUAAGUUUCCCACUGGGGAGUA
rnacentral:rRNA from 1 species